CUGUGUCCCCAGUGACCCCAAUGUCCCUGCUGUGUCCCCAAUGACCCCAAAGCCCCAAUACCCCAAUGUCCUGCUGUCCCCAAGGAUGUCCCUCACCCUCAGUGUUGGGUUGUACCUCUGAUGUCCCCAAUGUCCCCAAAGCCCCAAUGUCCUGCUGUCCCUCACUUGGUGACGGUGAUGGGCACGCAGUGCCAGGCGUUGCUCAGGACCCCUCUCAGGUUCCAGAUGUCCCCAAUGACCCCAAUGUCCCUGCUGUGUCCCCAAUACCCCAAUGUCCUGCUGUCCCUCACUUGGUGACGGUGACGGGCACGCGGUGCCAGGUGUUGCUGAGGACCCCACACAGGUUCCAGAUGUCCCCAAUGACCCCAAUGUCCCUGCUGUGUCCCCAAUGUCCUGGUGUCCCCAAGGAUGUCCCUCACCCUCGGUGUUGGGUUGUACCUCUGAUGUCCCCAAUACCCCAAUACCCCAAUGUCCUGCU
rnacentral:lncRNA from 1 species